UACGUAGGUGGCAAGCGUUGUCCGGAUUUAUUGGGCGUAAAGAGCGCGUAGGCGGUUUUUUAGGUCCGCUGUGAAAACCCGAGGCUCAACCUCGGGCUGUCGGUGGAAACCGUAAGGCUAGAGUCCGGAAGAGGAGAGUGGAAUUCCUGGUGUAGCGGUGAAAUGCGCAGAUAUCAGGAAGAACACCCGUGGCGAAGGCGGCUCUCUGGGACGGUACUGACGCUGAGACGCGAAAGCGUGGGGAGCGAACAGG
rnacentral:rRNA from 1 species